AUUGAACGCUGGCGGCAUGCUUUACACAUGCAAGUCGAACGGUAACAGGUUAAGCUGACGAGUGGCGAACGGGUGAGUAAUGCAUCGGAACGUGCCCGGUCGUGGGGGAUAACGCAGCGAAAGCUGCGCUAAUACCGCAUACGAUCUGAGGAUGAAAGCGGGGGACCGUAAGGCCUCGCGCGAUCGGAGCGGCCGAUGUCAGAUUAGGUAGUUGGGGGGGUAAAGGCUCACCAAGCCAACGAUCUGUAGCUGGUCUGAGCGGACGACCAGCCACACUGGGACUGGGACACGGCCCAGACUCCUACGGGAGGCAGCAGUGGGGAAUUUUGGACAAUGGGCGAAAGCCUGAUCCAGCAAUGCCGCGUGCAGGAAGAAGGCCUUCGGGUUGUAAACUGCUUUUGUACGGAGCGAAAAGGUCUCCUCUAAUACAGGGGGCUCAUGACGGUACCGUAAGAAUAAGCACCGGCUAACUACGUGCCAGCAGCCGCCGUAA
rnacentral:rRNA from 1 species